GCCGCUCCCUCCAGGGCCUCAGAGAACUCAGAGCACCAGGGUGGGGAGGGGUGAGGGUGGUGCAAUUAAUCAUGGCAUGUGUGUCUCUGUGUGUGUGUGUGUGCAAGUGUGUGUGGUAUUCAUUUACAGAACAAACAUUUCCUGAGCACUGGCAUGUGCCAGACACCGUUACAGGCACUGGAGAGAUAGCAGUGAAAAAACCAAUGGCCCCUGCCCCAGGAGGCAGAUGUCCCAGCCAGGGAGACCUAGGAGGCUGCAGGACCUGUGCCUAGCCUCUGGGGAGGGCCCGGCUGGCCUAUCUGCAGAGAGAGCCCACACUUCAAAUGGAGCAGCCUCUGGCCCCCAGGUUGGCUUGUUUGUGGACAGAAAGCUCUCUGGACCAGGCAUGAUGGCUCACACCUGUAAUCCCAGCACUUUGGGAGGCCAAGGCAGGAGGAUCACCUGAGGUCAGGAGUUUGAGACCAGCCUGA